CUUMUACUGGAGUMUCCUGCCAGUGACACGCGUGUUCAACGGCCGCGGUACCCUGACCGUGCAAAGGUAGCAUAAUCACUCGCCUUUUAAUUGGAGGCUGGUAUGAAUGGAUAAACGAGGGUUCAGCUGUCUCUUUUAUUUCUAUAAAAAUUAAACUCUAGGUGAAGAUGCCUAGAUUUUCAUGUAAGACAAGAAGACCCUAUUGAGCUUUACUUUAUUCAGUUGAAUACUUCUCCCCCUGGGAAGACCAGCACUUGAACAAAGUUUUGUUGGGGCGACAAAGGAAUAAAUAAUUCUUCCUAAACAACAUAGACCUCUAGUCUUUCAAAUGACCCUACAAUGAUCAACGGAACCAGUUACCAUGGGGAUAACAGGCUAAUCCCCCUCGAGAGCCCUGAUUGACAGGGGGGAUUGGCACCUCGAUGUUGGCUUGGGGUAUCCCCCGCGUGCAGAAGCA
rnacentral:rRNA from 1 species